rnacentral:lncRNA from 1 species
CGCAAUGUUCCGCCCACCCUGGCAACACCGUCGUCGACCUGGCCCGUCCAGAUCGGCCGGCAAAGCGCUGCCACCCCCACCCUCUUCAUCAAGCAUGCCGCCUCCCUGCACCCCUAACCCAUGCCGCCCCUCCCGCACCCCGAGUCCUUGACCCACGCCGCCACCUAGUCCCCUCGACGGCCGGCACCCGCGCGCCCUCCGACCCAUGCCGCCACCCAGUCCCCAUCGGCGACGACCUACACCCACGCUUCUGACGUCUCACGCUGCCACCCAGUCCCCAUCGGUGAUGACCUACACCAGCAAUCCACGCCGCCGCCCGUCCCCAUCGAUCCACUUUGCAACCAUGCCCCCACCCAGAACCGCCGCCCCAUUCCUCGAGCACGACGCUGCCUCAGCCCCCUCACCACCCAUGUCGCUGUCCCAAUCCCCCACCACGAAACCUCCCCAUUCCCUUCGCCAUUGCCGCCUCUGCUUCACAUCGCAUAGUAGCACGACGUCUUGUGUCAAAGGAGAAGGUCCAAGUGAAGUAAGUUAUUCAUUAACUUGAUUUCACUUGUGUUCUACAUCAAAGUGCUCCAUAUGUGAUGCUUCUUACUAAAGGGAAUCCCGUCUCAACACAUCAAAAAAUCAAUUAAAAAGAUUUGGCACUGGUUGUGGUUUGUUGAUAUUGUUUGUUAUUCUUGCGCACCAGGUGUUUGAGUUUUUGUCAAACCAAUAGCAACAUCCUCAGAGUGAGUCGCAGCUACAGGCCGCCCUUGAGCUCUGUUCAUACUUUUUUUAUUGUGUUGUGACAUGCAGGUUUUUGUUGUUGUGUUGAUUUAUUAAAUUUGGCUAUGAGUCUAACUGGAUCUGAUAGGUAAGAGGCUCAAGCUGAACCCCUGACCCUCUUAUGUCUCUCCAUGUGCCUUCUUAUCCGGUGAAGGAUACACCAGCGCCAGCCACGUACUGGUCAAGAUCGAUGGUUAGUGGCCCUGCUCUGCCCGCAUAUAGCCUUAAUGGGGAUGCUGUCUAUGUUAGCUUAGUGCAGAAUUAGAUAAGGCCAGGUACUUUACUAAAUCGUUGUCCUAUGCCACAUUGCUAAAUACAGUAAUUAUUUGGGAAGUUUACAUCCACUGAAUUUCUAUCUUGGCAAAAGCAGAUCCUGAUUUGGUGCUGAUUUUUGCCAUCUGCAACUCCUUUUUUUAGUUAUAAUUAUGUUGAGAACUAGUAAGAUUCACACAAACAUCUCAUUUUGUAUAAUUUAAUUUAUCCUGAGAGAUAGGCUUUAUAGUACCUUAUUUCCUAAUAGCUGCAUAAAUAACCCAAUAAGCCUUCAGUCCUACAUGAGUUUUCAGUUACGUUUGUAAUUGCCUCUUUUGCUCUGAUUUUUGGUUCUCAGCUAGCCAUAGUGAUAUCAUCAGAGACGUGUUUUAGGUAUGAUAGCAGGGGUGUUUGACAUAUGUGCUCGGCCAGGGAAUCAUUCCAGAAUGUACCAUAUGUCAAACACCCCUGCUAUCAUACCUAAAAAAUAGUAUAGGACGGACUGAAAAAUGAAAAGAAAAGAAGAUAUGCGCCUAGCGGUAAAUACUUGUUUGUUUGAUUGCCAUAUCUAAUUAACAUAUUCAUGCCCAGCUUCCUGGCAUAUGUAAUUCCGGUUAUAUUUUAGCGUGGCUUCAACAAGAACAACCUCGCUGAUUACGUUGAUCAACAAGAGUACGCCUAAAACAUGACGCUGGCUAUUAUUCUUCUAAUAUUUAUCUUUCAUAUCCGUCCUUGUGUUGAUCAAUUCCUGUGUGCUCUAAUUAGUGCUAGUUCAAACUCAUUACCUAGAGAUAUCAUAAAUCAUUCCAAACAGGCCCUCUGUGGUUUUUUGUUGGGUGUACGAAUUGAAGCUAAAGAUGAAGUUGCAGUUAAUGGUCAUCCAUCUUGCUGCGAUUUCAACAUUAUCUCUGUUUUAUUUUGACCCUUUUAUUUUUUGGCAGUAAUGUUAGUCGUGAGAUAAGUGGCACCACUAAGUCAUAGGGAACUUGCUCUGCUUUUAUUUUGACCCUUGUGGAAUUCGGACCUCCUCUUUCUUGCAAGUAGUUGUCCAAAUGGAUUUGUGGAACAUGUGUUCUUCCGAGCUGAUCUAAUUGGCCGCUUCUUUUUUUACAGGUCAUCGGUAUAAUUCUUUUGCAUCCACAAAUUUGAAGAGGUGUGUUUUGUGAGCUAAAAGGAUGUUCUGUUGGGUUCUGUUUCUCUGUGUUCUAUUUCUAUUAACUGAAACAAGAUGUUAUAUUUGGCGCUUUUGUCUAUGGUGCAAUAACCUACAAAUGUAUGCCUAUGUGUGCAUGGGCAUACAUGAAGGAUCGUUGUGUUGUAAUACUGUACUUGUGAACCUAUAUAUGCUUGUAUACAUCAUGGAUUGUUGAGAUACAUAUAUUAUGUCUAAUUGAUGCAACUUUAAUUACUAUGCGUGCGUGUUGUUACAUAUGUACUAUACUUGUUGGCACAAAAUGAAGUGAAGACAAAUGAAUUGGAA